AUGAAAAACUUUACUGUAGAAAGUACUUCACAACUCACGAGUCGCAGCAGUAAAGAUCUAGAAUUAAUAUAUUCUAAUCUAAACAGUAAGCACCUUCCUCUUUCACCCAACUUCCUUUUAACCUUUCUCUGCUUAUUCUAUAUAAAACCUCUCUUUCCAUACACUAAAAAUGGAAACUCUUCUUUACUGCAUCAUCUUGAUCUCACCUCAUCUUUGAAAAACCCUAGCUAG